AAGAGGCUGGUCCUCACCUGGCUACAACCUCCUUUCAGUGCUAUGUAGCUUUGGAGUAAGUCUGUGAAGGCUCCCAGCUGUGGAGGAACCGAUGUAUCAGCUGUAUUGAAUAAUAAAUUACCAAGGAAAGACUGAGAACCAAUCUUGUCAUGGUCUGCAAACUUCCUGAGGAGGAACAGGCUCUCAAAAGUCAAAGAUCAAAGCUGAUAGCUGAGUUUUAGAAACCAGAGGGACAGAAUCAUAAUUCAGCUCUUUGCAUAUUUGAGGUUAUCUCCACUGGAUACUUCUGUCAAGGCUGAGUAUGAUAUGAGAGAGUAAGCAUUACAAACAAAUUCACCAGAGAAGAGAGAGAGAAAAAUACUCCUGUCUUUUUCUGUCCAGCAACCAGAAGAUGAUUGGAUAAAUGAUCUUGUCAGGCUUUUAUAAACCUCAGUUUAUACUGUUCUUCAGAAUCAGGGAAGAUAACAGUGUGUGCUGUGGGAUCCUGUUGAACAUAAUGUUGCCUAGCUGUUAUAUUAGCUUUAAACCUGCGGACCACAUUUGCAUGAGGUGGGCAAUAUGCAGCACAUCCCUUUUUUGUUUUGUUUUGUCUGGGUUUUUUAAAGCUAAUCUUAGUUAUUGUAAUAUGUAAGAAAAUUUUGGUUCAUGUGUUUUUCACAAACUGUUAUUAUUUGUCUGUUAUCAGCCAAACUUAAAAUCACUUUGUGGUGAACCUUGGUAAAAAAAGAUGUUAUCCACAGCUUGGGAUAAUUACACACCUCACAUAUUCUACAGUUAAUUAAAGUAUGACCCCCAAAAUUAUAAACCCCCAAACUGUAACAAACCCUCAAGUUUUAUGCCUUUUACUCCCUUUUACCUGCUUAUUGACGGGUUUUUAUUGGUAGGAGCUAAAAUUUAGAACUGAGUGGUAAAAUACAUUUCAGUAGUUUAUUGAAUUUGCAUGAGAUUUAUUUUGAUAGUAAAAAGCAGUUAAUAAAAUAUAGGUGUCAUGACUUGCUCUAAAGGUCUUACUUUUUUGUGUAUUUACAGUAUUCAUAAAGAACUAGGAAAUCUAUAUAAGUCUGCAUAGCUUUCAAAAUAUUGCCUGAAAAAUGGAGUGAACAUUAUGCAUGGUUUAAUAUGAGGUUCUGCAGCUUCAGGAGGUGUUUCAAACAGACUCUGUCAUUUGUCAUGUCUAUAUAUUUUAAUCCCACAUAUUGAUAAAUGAGUGUUCUUAAUGCAGAUUUGUGAGUAAAAAAGGAGGCAGAUAUGUUGCAUUAGAAACUUGUAUUUAUUUUAAUUAGGUUCUGUAGAUAAAUCUGCUUGCAGAAUGGCAACUGAAAUUAUCAAAAGUAGUUUCUGCUUAAAUAGUUGUCGGAAAAUUUUAUUGACUGAACUUUUCCUCCUUUUCUCAGUGCCAAAAAAAUCUUAAAUGUUUGUGUUUUGCUUUUGAUUUCUAGUGCAUAGUUCUUUCCUUUUAUUUUUUUAACUGUCAUCCUAUUGUGUGCUGGAUUCUUACAUUAUCUAAAGAGUAGUUUGAAAGAUGAUGUGAGUGAAACAGAGCUCUGCUAUAGGUAACAGGCUUAGAGACCAGGUUGAUUUGAAUGAGACUUGUUGUUAAUCUGUAAGAUACUGCUUGCUGAUAUCAAACAACUACAAAAAUUGCUGUUGGUGGAGUGUGAGAACCAGAACCCAGAUGUCAUAAACUAGCAUUAUUUUAUCAAUAAAUACACACUCUGCAGCAUAAAUGCUCUAUAGCAAUACUCUUUGGAUGUGCAAAUGGUUUUGCAGCUUGGGCAUAAGAUUACAGGUGCAUAGAUAUCUCAUUUAGAAAGCUGGGUGUUAUUACACUGAUAUACGGCCUCAUGCCUUACGAAUAAUAAAACUGAAAUAUGGCAGAUCCCAUUGGAACCACUCAGCUCUCAAAAAAAAUGGGAUAAAAGAGAGCUUCAGCACUGGUUUGAGAUAUGAGAGCAACACUGAGUACCCUCAGUUUGGUCUUGGAUCUGAAUUUGACCUUUACUGGGCUAGUAUACUUUUCAAAUCCCUAAAUGUUUUAUCACAGAGCUAGAAAAACGGGCAGUAAAAAUGCUGCAGACUGUUAAGAUUUGGUAUAUCGACAUUUAUCUGUAAUCCAACAUCAAACCAAAAAGGGUUUCUGUUAUCCAGCUGGUUAUGCUGGAUAAUUGCA